AGAGUUUGAUCCUGGCUCAGGAUGAACGCUAGCGGGAGGCUUAACACGUGCAAGUCGAGGGGUAAGGUCUAGCUUGCUAGACACACGACCGGCGCACGGGUGAGUAACACGUAUGCAACCUACCCUGUACAGGGGGAUAGCUUUCGGAAACGAAAAUUAAUACCCCAUAGUUAUUAGUUAUUGCAUAAUAAUUAAUAUAAAGUUCCGACGGUACAGGAUGGGCAUGCGUUCCAUUAGCUAGUUGGUAAGGUAACGGCUUACCAAGGCAACGAUGGAUAUGGGGUCUUAAAGGAUGGUCCCACACACUGGCACUGAGACACGGGCCAGACUCCUACGGGAGGCAGCAGUGAGGAAUAUUGGUCAAUGGGCGCAAGCCUGAACCAGCCAUCCCGCGUGCAGGAUUGACAGUCCUAGUUGAUUGUAAACUGCUUUUGUUUGCCAAGAACCAUUCCGACGUGUCGGGAUCUGACGGUAGCAAACGAAUAAGCAUCGGCUAACUCCGUGCCAGCAGCCGCGGUAAUACGGAGGAUGCGAGCGUUAUCCGGAUUUAUUAGGUUUAAAGGGUGCGUAGGCGGGCUAUUAAGUCAGUGGUGAAAGUCUGUAGCUUAACUAUAGAAUUGCCAUUGAUACUGAUAGUCUUGAGUUCGGUUGAGGUAUGCGGAAUGUGUAAUGUAGCGGUGAAAUGCAUAGAUAUUACACAGAACACCAAUUGCGAAGGCAGCAUACUAAGCCGUUACUGACGCUGAUGCACGAAAGCGUGGGGAGCGAACAGGAUUAGAUACCCUGGUAGUCCACGCUGUAAACGAUGAUCACUCGCUGUUGGCAAUACAUAGUCAGCGGCUGAGCGAAAGCAUUAAGUGAUCCACCUGGGGAGUACGUCGGCAACGAUGAAACUCAAAGGAAUUGACGGGGGCCCGCACAAGCGGUGGAACAUGUGGUUUAAUUCGAUGAUACGCGAGGAACCUUACCUGGGCUUAAAUGUAGAGUGCAUAGGCUGGAAACGGUCUUUCCCUUCGGGGCUCUUUACAAGGUGCUGCAUGGUUGUCGUCAGCUCGUGCCGUGAGGUGUCGGGUUAAGUCCCAUAACGAGCGCAACCCCUAUUGCCAGUUGCCAGCAUGUAAUGAUGGGGACUCUGGCGAGACUGCCGGUGUAAACCGAGAGGAAGGUGGGGAUGACGUCAAAUCAGCACGGCCCUUAUGUCCAGGGCUACACACGUGUUACAAUGGCCGGUACAAAAGGCAGCCACCUGGCGACAGGGAGCUAAUCCUUAAAGCCGGUCUCAGUUCGGAUCGGAGUCUGCAACCCGACUUCGUGAAGCUGGAAUCGCUAGUAAUCGCGCAUCAGCCAUGGCGCGGUGAAUACGUUCCCGGGCCUUGUACACACCGCCUGUCAAGCCAUGGAAACUGGGGGUGCCUGAAGUUCGUAACCGCAAGGAGCGACCUAGGGUAAAACUAGUGACUGGGGCUAAGUCGUAACAAGGUA
rnacentral:rRNA from 1 species